CUCCUCUCAUCUGAAAUGAAGAGGGGAAGAAAAUUAACCCUGUAGUCAGGUGGCUCAAAGGCAGUAAUUCCCAUCAACGUGAGCAAGCUCUCCGUUGUGCGUGGCUGGGGCAGAGCGCCGGACCCACUCUCCCUUUUGCUCCAUUUUCGUUUCCCUGCCCUCUUCAUUAGCUGCUGACAGUUUUAGCUUCCUACGUCCAUUUAAAGAGAUUCCCCCCGCACAUCAUCUGGGAUUCAUGAACUGCAGAGAUCUGGCUAUUUUCAACUUUAAGCCACAGUUAAUCCAUGACCUUAGUGCUUUUGUCUCCAGGUCUGAAUUAUGAUUCCUGCCAAGUGGAUACAAAGACAACUGAAGUAGGAAUGUACCCCGUACUCUGCAGUGCCCACUGCAAUGGCAGGACUCAGAUACCUCUUUUCUUGGAGCAGCUCAGCAGAAGAACACAAAGAUGUCACUUCUGGCAUGGAUCACCCAGCGGCGCAUCCCUGGAAGAUGGACUGGUGCUCAGGUGCUGAGGUUUCAGGUCAGACAGAACCCAUGGGGAUGCUUCUUAAUGCACCAGCCUGGCUCCAUCCAGCUUGCCAGCACCAAAAGGAGGCAUCCGACCCCCACAAGGCACAGGCAACUCCACUGCUUGUCCUGCUCCUGCUGACUUCUUCGCUGACCGGCAGCAGCCUGGUGUUGCUCAAUGCUCCCUGUACGUGUCUGUGCCCACCUGAGUGCAGGAUACGGCCUCCCCCUGCCCGUCACAACCGGGGCCAUCACCCAUGCUCAAUCACACCACAUCCCUCCGCAUGUGAAGCCUGCAAGUUUUGGGGCAUGUGUAGAAAUGGUGAGAAGGUGGUGGAACACCAUCAGGGGUUCGGUCACACGUGGUGUGCUCCCAGCAGACCAGCACAACAGCUCAGGGAGCAGAUACUGCAACGUGUUAAGUCAUUUAUUUGAUGAUGAGGCAGAGAAAGCCAAGAGGACUAGCCUAGAGGAAAGCCUCAUUGCUAUGUGGUGAUGUUUCAAAAUUCCCCUUUUUGUUCUUCCAGCAGCCCAAGUACCUCGUUGGCUUUUCAGACGUGAUCAGAACACUGCUCAGCAUGGGAAGGGUGGGGAUGCCACACUUUCAUGAUGAGCCAGGAGAGGCCACGCUAGCCAGGGUUUGCACGGUAGCCCCAGCAGGCUUUGCAGAUGGAAGCUGUUUUAGGAUAAUUUGGUGUCUUUCUAUUCUGCAGAUUUCUUAACGUGUGUGUGUGAGCAGUUGGCUGCUGGGACAGGAAGAUGUGACUGUGCAGGCCCUUUGCAGCACUGAAAGCAAACCUGGUGCAGGUUUGUUCACGAGCUGGUGAGUGUUGAAGAUCCACCCAUGCUUGGUUAUCCUGAAGAGCUGCUCCUGGCUGCAGGUGACACCUACCAGGAGAGGCACUUCCCCAUUCCUCCAUACCCGUGGCAGACACCUCUGCUCCCUAGAGGCUGUGACCAUCAUGCAGCCACAGCUGUCCCCUCAUCAAUCCUAAAGGUGGAUGCAGUGAGACCCAGCACCAUCAGAGCUGACCGCACACGAGGCAACUCAUGUCUGGAAGCAGUCAGGCUCUGCUGAGCACCAGAAGGCACAUGGGGUGCUGAAAACUGCCCAGCGUAAAAAUAACCCUGCCCCAAGUUGCUUCAAGUGCUUCGUAUCUGUGAAACGCAGGAGACACCGAAUGCUAUAAAAAGUGCCACACGUGGGCUUCUCCGUGUCCGCUUCUUCG